rnacentral:rRNA from 1 species
UGGGGAAUAUUGCACAAUGGGCGCAAGCCUGAUGCAGCCAUGCCGCGUGUAUGAAGAAGGCCUUCGGGUUGUAAAGUACUUUCAGCAGUGAGGAAGGUAGUAGUGUUAAUAGCACUAUUAUUUGACGUUAGCUGCAGAAGAAGCACCGGCUAACUCCGUGCCAGCAGCCGCGGUAAUACGGAGGGUGCGAGCGUUAAUCGGAAUUACUGGGCGUAAAGCGCAUGCAGGUGGAUGAUUAAGUCAGAUGUGAAAGCCCGGGGCUCAACCUCGGAAUAGCAUUUGAAACUGGUUAUCUAGAGUACUGUAGAGGGGGGUAGAAUUUCAGGUGUAGCGGUGAAAUGCGUAGAGAU